CGAGGAAGGUGGGGAUGACGUCAAAUCACGCACGGCCCUUACGGUCCAGGGCUACACACGUGUUACAAUGGCCAGUACAGAGGGCAGCCACCCCGCGAGGGGGCGCUAAUCCUAAAAGCUGGUCCCAGUUCGGAUCGGAGUCUGCAACCCGACUCCGUGAAGCUGGAUUCGCUAGUAAUCGCGCAUCAGCCACGGCGCGGUGAAUACGUUCCCGGGCCUU
rnacentral:rRNA from 1 species